rnacentral:rRNA from 1 species
CGCCUCUUGCAUAAAAAUAAGAGGUCCAGCCUGCCCAGUGACCCAUGUUCAACGGCCGCGGUACCCUAACCGUGCGAAGGUAGCGUAAUCACUUGUUCUUUAAAUGAGGACUAGUAUGAAUGGCAUCACGAGGGUUAUACUGUCUCCUUUUUCCAAUCAGUGAAACUGAUCUCCCCGUGAAGAAGCGGGGAUAAAUUUAUAAGACGAGAAGACCCUAUGGAGCUUUAAACCUCUCUUCAAGUGCCCGCUACCCUUCCCACCCCACUAACAUUUACCCGGCACUAUGAAGCUAAGUUUUAGGCUGGGGUGACCGCGGAGCACAAAAAAACCUCCACGUUGAACUAGGCCUCAAAACCUUGAUCAAAGGACUACAAUCCUAUGCACCAAAAAAUUUACACUCAUUGACCCACUCACAUGAUCAACGAACCAAGUUACCCUAGGGAUAACAGCGCAAUCUACUUCAAGAGCCCCUAUCGACAAGUGGGUUUACGACCUCGAUGUUGGAUCAGGGUGUCCCAUGUGGUGCAGCCGCUACUAAUGGUUCG